rnacentral:rRNA from 1 species
UACGAAGGGGGCUAGCGUUGCUCGGAAUCACUGGGCGUAAAGCGCACGUAGGCGGCUUUCUAAGUCAGGGGUGAAAUCCUGGAGCUCAACUCCAGAACUGCCUUUGAUACUGGAGAGCUUGAGUCCGGGAGAGGUGAGUGGAACUCCGAGUGUAGAGGUGAAAUUCGUAGAUAUUCGGAAGAACACCAGUGGCGAAGGCGGCUCACUGGCCCGGUACUGACGCUGAUGCGCGAAAGCGUGGGGAGCAAACAGG